rnacentral:rRNA from 1 species
CUGGCGGCGUGCUUAACACAUGCAAGUCGAGCGAUGAAGCUUCUUCGGAAGUGGAUUAGCGGCGGACGGGUGAGUAACACGUGGGUAACCUGCCUCAUAGAGGGGAAUAGCCUUCCGAAAGGAAGAUUAAUACCGCAUAAGAUUGUAAUAUCGCAUGAUAUAGCAAUUAAAGGAGUAAUCCGCUAUGAGAUGGACCCGCGUCGCAUUAGCUAGUUGGUGAGGUAACGGCUCACCAAGGCGACGAUGCGUAGCCGACCUGAGAGGGUGAUCGGCCACAUUGGGACUGAGACACGGCCCAGACUCCUACGGGAGGCAGCAGUGGGGAAUAUUGCACAAUGGGGGAAACCCUGAUGCAGCCAACGCCGCGUGAGUGAUGACGGUCUUCGGAUUGUAAAGCUCUGUCUUCAGGGACGAUAAUGACGGUACCUGAGGAGGAAGCCACGGCUAACUACGUGCCAGCAGCCGC